AUGCUGUAUGAAGGAUCAUUAUGUGACCAUGGGGUUGUCUGUCUGGAGGAUGUUGUCGGUACUCGACUGCCAGUGAAGGGUCCCACUACAAGCGGUGUUAUAGGAGGGCUCAUUGGGGUGGUUCUGCUGCUGGCCAUUAUCGGCAGUGUUGUGGUCUUGGUCCGCAAAAAACGCAACCAGCAGAAUGGAGAUGGUCCACCCAAGUACAAGCCCCCUCCCCCUAACAAGCAGCAGACCACCACCAGCAGCUCUUCUGAUACGCUGAACACCAGUCGAGACCCUGUGGAGAGAAAGGACGGAUCCGUGGACCACCUGUACUACGCUCCGCAGGAUGCAGAGCCCAGCACAGACCUGGAUGCGUGCAGUGAUGAGGAAUACAAUUGUGAUGCGGAGGAGUUGCGCUACGCUGGCGCCCCUUCUGGCUGGGAUGAACCCAGGCUGAACGAAGUCCCGCACCUGUACGCCCCCAACCAGUACAAACCCAAUGAUUACCAUGACAAUGAGGAGGACCACCCCCCUGCCGCCGGUGCGACUCGUGGAGAGAGCUUUGUGUCCCAGGCCAUGUUUGUGUGAAGACAUUGGGAGACAUUGGAAGUGUGUGUAGGACUAAACCUGUUUCUACGUGAAGAACAUCAGACACUGGAUGUGUGUGUCUGUGGGAUGGCUGCGGUGUGUGAUGGUUGUAGUCAUUGCCGUUCAAUCAGUAUCUCCAAUCUAGAAUUUUACAUUGUGAACUAAAGUGAGUGUAUGUAUUGGGUUCUAAUAACGGGAAUCAUGUUUUUAAAAGGGGGAUCUGCUUUACUGUUAAAAUGCUGUGUAAGUAAGACACAACAUAAAAGAACACUAACUUUUAUCGCGGUUGGUUGAAACUUGAAUUUUGUGAACCUUUGAAUGUUGUGGUUAAAGUCCCAUGUGUACAGUAAGUGUGUGAGAUUGUUUAAUAGGCACAGAUCCAGGGCCAGCUUUCCCUCUUUGAAUCUUAACCAUUACCUUUAGGGGAUAACGCAACACUGACCUUGGAUCAGAUCAGUGUGUAUUGAUAGCUCCAUCAUACUGUGGAAUGUAGAUGGGCUCUGGGGUCAGGAGACUGGUACACUACUCUGAGCUAAAGGCAGUAGGAUGAUGUUGCCUAUAGACACUAUUGUAAGGUCAGUUGUGUGUUUUACUACCUAAGGAUUAUGUUUAAGGUUUUACAUAAUGUAAUCUGAUCCUAGAUCUGUGUCUAAGAUACAAUUCUGGAUUCCUGGAGCCCAAUACAAGCCAUACGAGAGGGACAGUCAAUUGCCUGAACAAAAAUCUAACAAUGUAAGUUACUGACAAUCUUGUAUAUAUAAAAAGGAAAUCUCUGUUACCUUUUAACAUUGACGUGUCUAAACAUUGAUGAUUUGUGCCUGUUCGCUCAGGAUUUAAAAGCUCUAUUCACAUGCUCUACCACAGUAUGUUGGUUACAGAAUGUACUACGUAGGCCUACUGUUGAAAUGUCCAAUAUUGUCAGGGUCUAGGUUUUUAUACAAUUUCAGGGUCUUCUCUAUACAAUCACUUAAUUGUUAAACCAGAUGUGCCUAUUUUUGUAGCGUGUCAGAUUAUAAAAUGUGAAUCAAACAGAAUUCUGAAUGAUUUGUAACAGAUGGAAUUGACCUGUUUUUACUAAAGCAAAGCCUGAUGCGCUGGUUACUUGAUGAUUUUUAAUUCAUUAAACAUUUAAACUGUGUAUCCAGUGUGGUCAGAUCAUUCUAAAGUUAUGGUCAGUAUUGCUGCGGUCACAUUGUCUCAUCUUGCUUAAUGUCUGGCGAGUUAGUGGAAGUACAUAAGAGUCCAGAAGGGGGAACUCUUGAGGCUUGAGAAAAAAGUUAGUGCUAUCCGGAAUCCUUGGGACAUCGGUAACCUUAACCAUUUUAUAUUUCAACUUCGAUGGCUUAACGUCAGAGUUGGGACGUCCCAAUGAUCCCAUUUAGACUUUUCCCUGAGAACUCUUGUAAAGAGGCUGUCCACUCCACCCUAUAGGCCUAGAAAUCUAUAUUUUCCUCUCAACCAGCGGUAUAAAACAUCCUUCUGUAGCCCUGUAACUAACCUGUUGUAAUGAUGCUCAGUAAGAACAUCUGCCUGGGUGCCAGUACAUUCCCAUCAUGUUACUUUGACAUAACUAGUCAAUACAGAGGAUGUACAGAACACAGAUAAGAGGCCUGUUACAGCUUUACACUUCAAUAACAGUUGAACUGCCAAACAAUCCGGUAAAGAUUCAGUCUGUGCCUCUGUCGGCAGGAUCGCCCUGCAGUUUGGAGCGGUGAAGUAAUCUGAAAGAGAGAAAAUAUGUUAAUUAUUGGUAGUUCUAAGUAGAGGACUGUCCCUGUCUGUAUAUUGGUGUAUGUGUCAGUUUGUGUUGUUGAUUGAACCCACCUGCUGCAUACUCUCGAAUGCCUGUGGGUCUUUUGAGAAAUACAUCUCUGUAAAAAAACACAAAAAAACAAGAAGCAGGUACCCAAGCAAUCGGUCAGUUAGACUUAAUUACUGUCGCUAAAUAUGAAAUAGAAUUAUAUUCGUUAUUGAUGUCUGGAGCUUGAGAGCCCUAAUUGAGAUGGAGAAUAAUAUGUCUGAAAAUAGACCGUCAGUCAGUGCCAGCCAAUUAACAAACCUUAAAAAGUCGCUUAUUAAGGCCUCCACCUCUGGAUGCGCUCUCUAAUAUACAUUGUUGGCUUUGCUUGUCCCAGAAUAAAUAUAAUGGUGAAUUCCCUUAACUUUACUGUCCAUUCUACUCUUUCCCAUGCCUCAUGAUAUUUUGAAAAGCCAGGUGGUCAAUAGCAGAUUUAGUUACCCCACGAGAUGUUUGUUGAGCCUAUCUUUACCCAAGGAAUUUCUGCUAGCUAACUAUUAGCUGGAUGAAUGCAAAAAUAAUGCAGUUUAGUGAUAGAACAAGAAAUCCUAUUGUAUUUUAAUUCCUAAUUAUAUCGGUAGAACUAGCUAACUAAAUGUUGUUGGAGAAGCCAAGGAGCACUCAUGAAGCUACCUACAGUAGUAAAGUGUUAGCUAGCUAACUAACCUUAAAUUGUCAGAGUUGCUGCUGUUGCUCGAUGCUUAAUGCACAAAAGUCCAGUUUCUCCAAAGCACGUUUAUCAGCCAUUUGAUCUCAUCAGCUAGCUAAUAUUCCUUUGAUAGCCUGCUUGCUAGCUACCGUUAAUAUCUUUGCUAAAAAAAACAUCGCCUGUUGUUGAUAAGCUCCGCUGUUACUAUGGCAACAGCCUGAGUAGAACAGAAGCAACACUCUGUGGGAAACGUGUAUCUUUGCUUUCCCCCGUGACAUCUUUGUAGGUCUCUAUGGCUCUGGGUGGCAGCCAAUGUGACAAUGUUUUUCAGAGCUUGUAUUGAGGGAUCCAGCCACAGGACAUGAG
rnacentral:lncRNA from 1 species